GAUGAACGCUGGCGGCGUGCCUAAUACAUGCCAGUCGAGCGAACAGAUGAGGAGCUUGCUCCUCUGACGUUAGCGGCGGACGGGUGAGUAACACGUGGAUAACCUACCUAUAAGACUGGGAUAACUUCGGGAAACCGGAGCUAAUACCGGAUAAUAUAUUGAACCGCAUGGUUCAAUAGUGAAAGACGGUUUUGCUGUCACUUAUAGAUGGAUCCGCGCCGCAUUAGCUAGUUGGUAAGGUAACGGCUUACCAAGGCAACGAUGCGUAGCCGACCUGAGAGGGUGGUCGGGCAGACUGGAACUGAGACACGGUCCAGACUCCUACGGGAGGCAGCAGUAGGGAAUCUUCCGCAAGGGGCGAAAGCCUGACGGAGCAACGCCGCGGGAGUGAUGAAGGUCUUCGGAUCGUAAAACUCUGUUAUUAGGGAAGAACAAAUGUGUAAGUAACUAUGCACGUCUUGACGGUACCUAAUCAGAAAGCCACGGCUAACUACGUG
rnacentral:rRNA from 1 species